rnacentral:misc_RNA from 1 species
GGCAGCGCCUGGAGCCGGCUCCGCGGCGGAGGGGCGGCGCCCCGACCCAGGCCCAGCACCGUGGGCACCGCCAGGCCGGCGCGUAUGGAGGCGGUGGGACGCCUGCGGCGCGGAUGCUGUGUGCUGUGGACCCACCUGGGGUUCAUGGAGUGGGCCACGGGGCCCAGCCCUAAGCACUGCUGCGCCCAGGGUCGCCGCGCCUCCUGCUGAGGGGUCCCCGUGCCACUGGCUCUCACCAUUGCCCUCGCCUGCCGAUGGCCUCUGCUGCCCAGCCUGGGGCCAGCUCUACCGCCUGAGCCCCCUGCCCCACUCCAGGACUCACCGUACCCCGAUGGGGUAACGUGACACAGGCCCCACACGUCAGAGGCCGCUGUCCCCACGGCCACUGCCCGUGACCCCUGGCCCAAGGCAGCUGGAGUUGGUUCAGUUCAAGUUCAUUCUUCCUCUGGCCCUUGGGGGCUUGGGGCCCACCUCUGAGUGAAGGGGGCUGUCUGCCCAUCCACCAAUGUGGAGAGGGCGCCCCCGGUGUGGGGUCCAGCUCUGGACACUGCUUGGCGGCCGGGUUCACUUUGAGUUUUUAAGUUUUCUUUGCUGAGCUUUUUUGGU